CCUACGGGGGGCAGCAGUGGGGAAUAUUGCACAAUGGGGGAAACCCUGAUGCAGCGACGCCGCGUGAGUGAAGAAGUAAUUCGUUAUGUAAAGCUCUAUCAGCAGGGAAGAAAAUGACGGUACCUGAGUAAGAAGCACCGGCUAACUACGUGCCAGCAGCCGCGGUAAUACGUAGGGGGCAAGCGUUAUCCGGAUUUACUGGGUGGAAAGGGAGCGUAGACGGCAGUGCAAGUCUGGAGUGAAAGGCGGGGGCUCAACCCCCGGACUGCUUUGGAAACUGUACGGCUGGAGUGCAGGAGAGGUAAGUGGAAUUCCGAGUGUAGCGGUGAAAUGCGUAGAUAUUAGGAGGAACACCAGUGGCGAAGGCGGCUUACUGGACUGUAACUGACGUUGAGGCUCGAAAGCGUGGGGAGCAAACAGGAUUAGAUACCCUGGUAGUC
rnacentral:rRNA from 1 species